AGGAUACCAUUGGCCUUCUUGCCUACAAGGGCACACUGCUGGCUCAUGGCCAACCUACUGUCCACCAGAACACUCGGGUUCUUCUCCACAGAGCUCCUUUCCAGUAAGUCAGCCCUUACCACACGUGCAUGCUGUUAUUCCUCCCCAGGUGCAAGACUCUACACUUGCUCUUGUUAAACCUCAUCAGGUUCCAAAUCUCCAGUUUGUCCAGGUCUUGUUGAAUGACAGCACAGCCUUUCAGUGUGACAGCCACUACCCCCAGCUUUGAAUCAUCAGCAUAUUUGCUGAGAUCAGGGUCCCUAAGUAUGAUUUAUAAGCAUAUCUUUGUAAUAAUUUUACAUAUCAGUGAGAUAUGUAAAUUUCUUAAAUCAACUUAGACUGAAGAUGAAAACAAAGUGUGGUUUGUUAGAGGAAUGUCCAAUAUAAAAUGAGAGACACAGUAUUCGAUAGCAACAGAGUUUGUGGAAAUGAAUGAAAAAAUUUAAGUAAGUUGCUUUGUGGGUUUCUUAAGCAUCAGUUUAGUAUGGAUAUACUUUAUUUUCCUUGUUAAUUUCCUGAAGUCCUUAUUUCUAACGUCUUUGUAAAUAAUAGGUGUUUGCAUGGCUGCAUGUCAAAACUAUAGAAAUAUUUGUCAUAGCCUGAUUUAUAUUAGGAAAUUUAAGAAUAGCUGUCAAUGGUUUCUGGGCCGAUUAGGCCCAGUUCUGAGAUUAAUGGGGCAGAGGGACUCAGACCCAUGCCCCAGGGAAUGUGAAAGGGGGGUAGAGAAAAGGUAGGGAGAUAGGCCGGUCAUAGUUCUGUGAUUUUUUGUUGUUGUUGGUAUUCCACAUCAUAACAUCACAUAAAGCACUGGCAGUUAAAGAGUUAACGUUCUGGUUCUGUGGACUGCCGUUUUUUGGUGCUUGGUUCUCGGAGGGGGAGGGGAGGAGCGGCAUUCCCCAGAGGUCUUUGUGCCUGGAGAGGGCUAGUGAAGCCGCCUGGCAGACCGGGAGUUUCUUCUCUUUGUUUUGCGGCGGCGAAGCACGUGGUUCCCCUGCAGCUUACAGAUUUCUGAGGAAUUGGAAAGCAUUACUUUGAGAGCAACCAACAUAUUUGAUAGAGGUCAUCAGUUUAGAAAGAGACUUGAAAACCAUAUUGGAAUGAACACAGCAGGAAUCAAGGAACUGGAGUUCUAAGUACAUUUGUGCAUCUAUGCCGAGCAACAGAAUAGAUGUAACAGACCAGUAUGCCCUCACAAAAAAUCUAUGGUAAAAAGAAUAUUUCCAGUGUUAUGUUAAAGAGAAGAUUUCCACACUGGAUGUCAGAGGAUAACAUUUUGGACAUAUAUCAACUAAAAAAUCAAACGAAGUCUGUGAAGCAUUAUGAGAGUAGCCUGCCAGUACUGCUGAUGUUAUGAUUGCAGGCACGCCUACUGAAAUCACUCAACCAAUUGAAGAAAGAGAAUGAGAUUUGGAUUAUAGGGUUUCAGAUAAUACUAAGUCCCUUGUGAAAGAUAUGUAUCUGUCAAGCUUAUGAUCACUGAAUGCAAUUCUGUCACAUUAAAAAAAUGAGAUGAGAUGACUGUGAACAAGGCCAAUGACACUGAGCUAUAGCAGGACAGAAUAAAGCAGAAGGUUUGAUAAUGAGAGAUUACACUUUCCAGCUAUUCUUGAGGACCAGAGGGAGGGAAUUAUUUGGUUUAUGCUGGCAGCAAUUUCCCUAAGCCAUGUGAGAUGGCAUACCUCAAGCUGUUGCAAAUGUAGGCAGAACAACCACAGGCCAUGGCUCUUGGUUGGAUUUAGAUUCCCUGGGGCAUAAAAUAUAUUGAAAAGGUUCCUAAAUAGGGGCUGAUCACUUAAUUUGACUGUUUGAAUGGAAGUCCCACAUAUUCUUCAAUCACUAACACUUGUUCACAGCUCCCUUGAAGUUUAAUAAUCACUUCUGAUUUUUUUUAAAUUAGAUUAGCUGCUCAUGGUUACAGUUUUACAACUGUAACAUAUCAAAUGUGUUAAGCAGUACUUACACGUUGUCCCCUUUUCUAGAUUCUGUAAAGCUGCAAUGAACAAAGGUUAUUAAGUUCCUGCUGUGUUCAAGUUUCCUACAGCUUCUUGACUUCUGAUGACUUCAGUUCAAGUCCCAGCUGGACUCCUGAUCAGCAGGGUAGCUGAUUUCCCAAUAAAGGGAGAGAGGAAAUGUGUAAACUUGUUGAAGUGCUCCACAAGCUCCAGCUUGCAAACCUCGCAGAGACUGCAGUCCAUCCAGCACACAGACUCUCACCUAAUACAACAUACUGUAAGUUGUGAAGAAAUGUGUUUAAGUAUAAAUAGUCUCUACUGGCUUCAGGAAGUAAAACUGUUCCCUUAGUUUAGUCAACAUAUUGCUUGCAGGGAAGCUGAGAGGCCAAUUUCCUAGGCUCACCAGUGAUUUCUCCCUGUAAAAUGAAAGUUAGCAAUAAUUGUGUGUAUAAUAUUGUCUAUUAGGUAGUGCAUAAAGGCUUGCAUUGUAUGUACAUACUGUAGUUGUAUAGAAAACAUUACAGAGUGAGCCUGCUUUUAGCUUGAUGCCUCAUACAGUGGUAAUUGAGGAGAACAGCCUUUUGAUUUGCUACUAUUUGCAGUUCUGCAGGAAAAACUAAGUUUAGGCUAUCUUGUGCUGUGCAUUGUUGCCCUGUUUAAUCUUCUGAUUCGCUAGGAACAAUUACAUGCGACACCUAUGGAGAAUUUAAUUGCUUAGCUCCUGCCUCUAUGGCAAUUGUAAUUACUUUGCAGUACUAUUUUGAAAAAAACUGUGGUGUUUUUUAGAACAUAGCACUGAAUAACACCAAGGUUAGAUUCAUACAACAGCAUAACUCCAAGAAUUAGCUUCCAGAAUUAACCCUGUGUUUCUUUUGAUGAGAGCUCAGGCAAAAUAAAGCAAUGGUUAUUGUAAAUAUCCUCAUGUAAAGCUUUCUAUACAAGCUCUUCAAAUGCAUUUAUCCACCAAAUAUAUGUGGGAGUUAGCACAGCGUCUUUUUUCCCCUCCUUUUCCAGCUGAGGAAACUAAGGCACAGAAAUGUGCUGCCUAAUUUGUCUUUAUGAAAAAUCCAAAGAAGGGAAAAUUAGUAUGUGAAAAAUUUUGGAUUUAUAGCAUUUUCAAGCUCCUUUUACUUCUCAUGGAUGUAGCUUUGAAAGAAACAUAAUAGGCAAAAAGAUGUGCCUUUUUAAGCUUUAAAACCCUAAAAAUUUCUGUAAAAUGGAACAUAAUAAAUAAAUGAAUAAAUGUUGCUGUGCACUAUUCCGCUGAUAAUUCCUGUUGAGCAGAAUCUAAGAUGUCAUUGUCUGCAUCAUCAUGAACAAUUCCAACCAAAGUGGUGUGUAGGCAGGACUAUCCUACUGCAUUCUGAAGGAAAUUUUAAAGAGCAUCCAAAGGGAAGUACUGUAUUAGAAUUUCAUUUCUUCAUCAUAGAAAAGAAAGAAUGAUCACUGCUUCAUUUGCAGUAAGGCAUUUUUAGUUCUUUGAUCAUCUAGAUUUUCCGAACUGAUCUUGAUGGCAAUUCAUUUAGAAAGUAAACUCUUGUUGGGAAGUCCUCCGGAAGCUUCAUGAGUUAACAGCUUUCAGAAGUGGAAUACAGAUCAAAAUCAGUAUGAGUUCUCCACAAAAAAGAGCCCAUUCUAUCUGAAAUAAAUGCACAUGACAUUUAACAGCAAUGCUGAGAUUUAUUUCUCACAAGUAAAAACUAAUCAUAUAGAAGUGAAAUUCUCUCACAAUUUUCUAUAGGUUUCUUGCUCACUUUCAAUAUCUGCUGUAGUCUCCUUUAAAUGAUAUACAACAUGGCCAAGCAUGCGACCUAUAGAUAUUGAAAAGGCAGCCCAUUACUUAGGUAUAAUUAUAUAAGAAAUAUACGUUUAAGAUAACUACUAGGUUUUUCUUUUUUCAGCCUAUCAAACGUAAGUUUAGUCAUGCCAGAGAAGGUAUAAUGCUAUAAUUGUCUGUAUGAAUCUUGGUAGCAUUUAGACAGCGUGCUGCAAAAGUGAAGGUGUACAGUACAUACCCCUGCAGAUCAGCUUCUGUGAUUAACCUGAGAAAUUUUGUAUGAGAAAAAAAGAAACUAAGAGAAAUGUGUUUUCUUCAGAUAAUUAUUAACUUCUUUUGAUACUGACAUCAAUGGUACUGACAAGAUUUCUUUGAAAGUCAAGAUUACCUUUCUUGAAGUUUUGCAUUCUUUGUCAUUAAAAGAAAAAACACCUACAUUGACAUUUUAAGCUUUUCCAAAGUUUCAUAUUAAAAAAGUAAAGGGUUUGAUUGAAAAUGCUUUGAAGGUCACAGGGAACUCAUCUCAUACAAGAGCCACUGUAAUUUUUUCCACACAAUCUAUCCUUUUUUUUUUUCCAGUUAGUAACUCUCUAAAUACAUUUAAUUAUGACAAUAGCUAGUCAUUUCACCGAAUUAGCAGCAGUUCCAUGUAAAAACUAUCCAUAUAUAUUCUCUCCAUCUUUUAUUAUGUUGCAAAAAACUUCAUCUGGACUUCUCGUAACUAAUGUGUGUUCAAAGCCAAUACGAUCAUCUCAUUUCAAGUCUUCUGAUCUCCCAGAGGAAUACAGGAACUGUUAUUUGAAGACCUGUUGUUUGCCAUUAUCUGGCAAAAAAUGUUUGACAGCUUCAAGUCACUUGAAGUUUUUGCUCCUUGAAUUCCUCAGUUCUAAAGUACAGAUAUUAUUAAACAAUAUUUGCAAAUUGCUUUUGAAUUCUGUUGUAGAUUUAAAGUCACUCUUGCCCUUACUGUACCCUAAAAUCAUGUUCAGACUUUGUUUCCUCUGAAUUUGCAUAUCUAAUCCUCAACAAACUUCAAACUGCAUCCCUUAUUUUAUAACGUGAACAGUGCAAGUAUAGUACAGAAGAGGCUCCAAACAGGGAAUCUUGAAUGCACUUUUAAAUAUGCUUUUCCACUGCAGAUAUUUGCAAAUGAAACCCUGCGAUGCAGCAUUUAAUUCCCACGAGAAGUGCUAUUCUCAUUAUAUCUUCUUCUGUAUACAAGCUUCUGCUGUGUUACUUGUAUUGCCAUUUUCAGCAGGGACUCAGAAGAGAGAAAGGAUAGAAACUCAGACAGAAUUACUAAACUGUAACACAAAGAUAAUGAACUCUAAUGCAACAGGACAGCAAAUUAAAAGACUGGGAAGUUGUUAGCCCAUGUAAAAAUAGAAGAAAAAGAGCUUUAUUCCAUACUUUUGAAGCAUUCUUCAAAGCUCAGAGAGCCUACUAAACGAAGCAGUCCAGUUAAUCUGCCUAGAGCUCCUCAGUUCAGCUCUCUUUACAAAAGAAAUCCAACCAGACAUUUUUAAGAGCAAUUAUUUUUUUAUGAAAAGGAAAUAACUAAGACCUAGAAAGGCACAUUAGGGGCUAGAAGACACACCAAUCAGGAAAUGGUUUAAGAUCCCCAUUCAGCUCAAUUUGUUUUAAAGUAUUUCAAACCCCAUGAAUACUGCAAAUUCUACAAAUAGCCAAGUGGCUGGGAGACACAGUGCAUAUUGCCAAACAGAUUUAAAUGCAAAACCAAGAGUUUUGUUUCCCAAAGCUGUAGAGGGUGAUUAUAACACUGUCCAGUCUUAACGCAAAGCAAGUUUCUGUUGUUUUUAUGUAUUUCUCUACCACAGUCCUAAUGUUCUCCUUCUGUGCAAAUACACAUACAGAAGAAUAAGCACAUGCAGAAAUUUGGUAGUUCUAAGUGGCAUGGAUUUGGCAAAACUGUACCCUGCUUCACAGCAUUAUCAACUACAAGCAUUCAAGCAUUAUCAAAUGUUCCCUGUACUUGGUCUUGGGAUCGGAAUUGCAAUAAUUUUAAAAUAUAUUUAAUAAUGAUAUUUUAGACUUUAAUUUUCAUUUUUAAAACUUGUGAAAAUCUAAACCAUAUCUUAAAUUUAUGUGAGAAACAUGAAACCUAGGAAUUUAUCUCUUUAUUCCAACAAAUCCUCAGAUUCUCACACAUGCAAAUAAUUUUAACAGAUAAAACACACAGAAAUGAACCAUGUAUCACAGGACUGUGAUAACCUGAAAGUUGAUUGUGUGGGCUGCAGUUUAGUUUUAUUGCUUCUAGAAGUUCAUGGGCACCGUCCUGUGAAAGGGUACAAGUCAGUUCUAAUCCUGACCUUUAAGUAACUGGCAUUCUGCAGAUAUUCCAGCAUUUCUAAUUUAUGGGACCAGGAGAAUUUGCUCUUUUUUGUCAAAAAGUAAGCCAUCUGAAUCUCUUAGUCUGAGUGGGAAACAUGCAGAUAAUUGAAAGAAAUGAAGGCAAUAUUUCCUGAUUUUUCUGGAAAAAAAAACAUACUCCCACUUAGAAAAUCAGAUACUCAGCUGUGUCUGCAGGGUAUAGUAAAGCCAUGAUACAACCUUUCAGCAGUACCAAAGAGACUUCCAAAGUCCUUUGCAAGAUUAGCAAGACAGAACAAUUCAGUACAGUUCAGCAUAUUUCACUCAAGACUGUUGAUUGCAAAAGCACAUUUUCUUUCCACUUAAUGACAUUUCUGAUUUUUAAGGCUUGCACAAGAAUGUUGAAGUAUGUAGGCUGCUCCAAAAGUAAUGCCUCUGGAAUACUCGUGGGAAAGUUCAACCUCUACUGUCAUACCACCACCAUCCACCUCUGACAUCUUGGGCCAACAUAAUAAAAUAGGAGGCAUUACUUUCCGAGCAGCCCUCAUAUAUGGAGCUGAAUAAGCAGAAACAGUGACAUACAGAAUGCCUGAAAUCUGAUCAAAGACAAGAUGUCUGAGACAUUUCAUAAGCAAAUGCAACUCUCUGAAGAGUUAAUUAAAACAAUUUGCUGAGAGAUAAUACCUGAAAUAAUGUGUUAAAUAAAAAAUAAUAAAUGGGAAUUAAAAUGGAACAUGAGUAUAGCCAAAUGGCAAUGCUCAGAAUUUCUAAGACACACAGAAUUAGCUAUAAUUUAGGGAAGAGGUUUUCAGCAAAGAAGCACUGUGUCAAAUAUGCAGUGUCAGUGAAAGCAGUCAAUUUCCAAGUUUCAGCACAAGUUGUACCAUGCACUUCACAGCAAAUUGAAAGUAUAUCAACAAGCAUGUAGUUGGACAGCAAGGCUGUGAUAACGAUUGAUCAUGCAAAGAAAGACUCCUGGAUUUCAUAAAAAUGCAUAAGACAAAAACUUUUUUUAGGUUUUAAGUUUGUAAUACUGGAAAUAAUUAAUCGUAAAGAAGGUUGUGAUACCUAUUCUUGCAAAUCUGUCUGGUCACUCUCAUUCCUGUGUAUCAGUCCUGCAAAUAACACUGAAGCUGAACAAAACUAAGGCUAAGACAGUUUUUCAGUUUCUUCAAGUACUCAAAAUACUAGUGCUGAUAUUCAUUCCCUGACAAAAUCUUACCUAAUCACUAACAGUGUGCAACAAAUAAACGCUGCAAAAGAAUGCCAGAUGAAUGAAUUGUUUAGAUUUUAUUGAGUAUUUACUGCUAUUUUUAUUUGGCAUUAUAUGUGCUUUUAUUUGCAUUAAAAGGUAAAUGAAAUGAAGUUUCACCUUCAAUAUUCAAUUAGAUUUAUUUAGGCAUUAAAAUAAUUGACUGUUUUGCAGAAUCUACCUUCAUUUCAGCCAGAGUUUGUAUCUUUUGUCAUUAUCUGUUCCUAACCUUCAAAGAAUGUUUCAAGAAAGAUGUUUAUAAAAACCUCUUUUUGUUCUGCUAACCUUGCAAACUAAACAUGUUCCAUUUAUUUUUAAAUUAAGUGAAAAUUAGCCAGGUGUGAUAGAUAAGCUUUCUAUACACAGUUCUAAAUAUUGACAAAAGGAGACGUGUCACUGGAAAAAUCAUCAGUCUAGCAAUUAUCACGUUAGCAUGUUAAGUGGAAAAAGAUGUGAAACUUCCAAAUGUGUCAAUACAGAUUAAUUCAUUUCCACUAGCUAUCAGCUAUACUGUGAACAUCAGUGCCUUAAUGUAUACUCAGCAGCGUCUUGGCAUUUGCAAGUAAAUACUUAGAAGCAGUUUACAGAAUUGCCAGAUCUGUGGCAAAAUCAUGUAUAACUCCUUCAGAAAUGAACUGCAGAGCAAACUUCUCCAGAAAUUCUGAGCAUUACUGUAGAGAAGGUCAGACAGUACAGGGAGAGGGAUGGAAGUCAGGAUUAGGAACAAGCAGUCAGCAAGGAAUAUAUUUCUCACAGAAAUAGCAGGAUCUUCCAGAUCCAAAUUUGCAUAGGCAGGGAAAAGAGGAGAAGGACCCAACCACUGUAUCCCUGCAGAUGAAGCAGCAGCUAAGAACAAAAUGUGCUAAGCAGCAUUUUUAUUAGCAGUCCAGAAACCAGCUGUGAUUUUAACAGCUGGCUCUGCCACAUUAAAUCUCGUCUCCUUCAGUGAAACUCUGGGCCUUUUACAACUGUAUGCCCAAAACUUAAAGAGGAUUUGUAACAAAAAAGAAAAGCUUUUCCACACUUUCUCCCAACUACUCAUUUGUGAUCCUUAUGUAUUAAGAAUUUAUCAGGUAAUAAAUGUACAUUCCAUUUUCAUAAUCUAGUCAAUAUCACAUUAUUUGCAAGCCAGCUUAACCUUCUCCAUUGCUUCUGUUCAUUUAAAAAAAAAAAAAUUGCAAGAAGUUAAGGUGUCACCAAUAAGUGGCAGACAAAGAAGAGUUGGAGACAGAAAAAUGAUCCAUGCCCUUAAACAGGGUGCAUUUAAAGAUAGGCAUUUAUUUACAAUGUAAAAAAUGUAACCCACUCCAAGAGCACUGAGUGGACUGUCAACAUAGGUUUGAAGUUUAAACUCUUUCUAGUGAAUAAACACACUGAUAGUUUUGUGGGAGCUGGCGAUGGAGAAAAUCACAGUUUUCUCACAGAAAAUCAUAGCUCUCAGGAUACAAUAUUUUGGAGAGGGAACUUACAGAAAGUACUUAACACUAUGUGACCUACCAGCAUGAAAUAAUUCCUUUUGAGAUCAAUUAAGCUUUCUUUCAAGUAUAUAACAUAAUCUAAGUUGUGUCUGUUUUGGUUGGUUUUUAUGUGUAAGUCUUUUUUAAAAAAUCUUGUUUUAAAAAUUUGGUGUUAUGUGAUAUGCGCUCAAAACAUGAGAUAUUUUUAGUAAUGAUUAAUCUGAUAUGUAUCAAUAGAAGGUCAGCAUCAUGAGCAGAGCCUGAAACAAAGUCUGGUGAAGGCUACAGACAGAAUCCAUCCAAUUCAGUGACUUUUGUUUCAGUCCAUUAAUAAAUUAUUCCAGGCUACAUUAUGCAAUUUGCAUGGAUCGUUUUGCUAACAGCUACAGUACAUUACUAUUGUAUUUUGGUUAAAUUAAGUACUACCUUUGCAGAUUCCUCUAUGAAGUGCUGUAAAAGGUAUGAAGAUAAGGUAGGACUGAUGAUGCAACUUGGCCACAGAAACCCAGUUACUAAGGUCCUGGGCUUAUUUGUAAUGGCAUUUACUGUAGUAUGGCCUAAUAGACCUUCUUUGGGGAAGGUCUUUUCAAUUGUAUUUGCAUUAAUUUUUUUGUAGAAACAUACUUACCUGUUAUUUUCAGCCUCUUUUCCUCCAGAAGUGCACUACGCAGAUGGCUGGUGGAAUGGUGCUAACAUAGUUCAAAGCCUGAAACUUUGUCCAAAGAAAGUACUGGCAGAUUAUUAAGAUGUGUUAUCUUCACAUCUAUUUCUUUCAAGAGUUUUUCUAUUCUUUGACUUUUAUGUGAGAACUUCCAAGAACAAAAAACAAUGACAAAAAGACUACAUCCAGAUAAAUAUCACAAUUUAUACACAAAAUGCCUCAGUGAACAAUUCAAGUUUUCCUACAUUUCUAUGUAAGUAGUUUUAAAUUUAAGAUAUUGUGAUUGUCCUAUUGUCAGAGGAAGCCAAAGCACCAUACCCAUGCAUCCCUUUUUGAAUGCUCUCAGGAGUCCAGGACAUGCAAUCUUCUGCAACAAGCAAGAAAAAGUAUUUCAAGAUAAAAUUUCAAAAGCAAGCAGGAAAGAUAUUUUAAGGUUUCCUUUAUGUCGUUUUUACUCUUCCUUGGUGCUCAGCAUCAUGAAAAUUUGGCCCCAAGUCAUAGAGAUUUUAGGCAACAGUUUCCCCAUGUUAAAUUUUAAAAGUAGUUGCCAUAGCAACUGCCAGACACAGCAUAUGGUGUGUCUGUUACCUCCAAGAUAACAGAGCAAUUUCUAAAGAAUUUUCUUUACAAUAUGUUAUGAACCUUUGUACUUUUUACAAUUUUUUAGAGUGCAGUAUAAGGUACUGUUGUUCCCUGACAUUCUCUUCAAGUUGAAUGCUCAUUUUGUAACUCUCUAUUUCACAUUAGGCAAAUAUUUCCCUCUUUUCUUUCUCUUUUUAUUCUCCCCAUUUUCAGCAAAACAUGUAAGAUUAAAGUGGGGGAAGAACAGACAUCUAUUAAGCUUUACCUAAAGACUGUAUCUAGUUAGAAUAUCACCUUUCUUUCACACUGACAAUCCAAAAGACAAAAAUAUGAAAAAAAAGGCAAAAUACAGAAGAUGACAAAAAUCUUAGUAAAACUUUUAAAAACAGGUCCUGGGCAGACAGGCAUUUUGCAGAACUGUCUGCAGUCUUCAACCCACUGACUCUCAUACUUGCCUAACUUCUCACCAUCAAUGAAAAAUUAGUAUCUGUGCAAAGUGACCUUAAACAAAGGGAAUUCAAAAAUACAACCUGUCAUCUGUUGUUUGGUAGGUACCACCAUUCUCCUUGAAUAGCAAAGAAUAUUGCAGUCCCUCUUCGAACAUGACUUGACCCUAAGGUUUAGCUCUCAAAAAGAAAACCCUUAGGACAGUUUGCAAGUGGGAUUGCACUACCUGCCUUCCUCCACACCGGUGAGAAGACCCCACUGUCCAGCACGGCUUCCAACAGCUAAGAAUCUCAAUGCGAACACUGCUUUGUAGAAUCACAUGCAGCUUCUUGAGAUAAGGAAAAUAGGUCUUUAUUCCUUCUUAUGCCCUUUUGUGGUUGUAUAGGCUGAGACAGAAUUAGAAGAAUAGUUACUAGGAUACGUAAUAAUGUUCUGUUCUGUAAUUCUUUGUCCCUUGAGUCCUUCAUUCUGACAACUUUCUACCAUUAAGAAACCUUCUGAACAAAUCUCCAAAAAAAUUAAAACAUAAAACUCCACCAAAACAGGAUAUAUGACUGCACAUUUAAUUCUCCUCCUUGAGGAGAAGCCAAGAAAGAGAAUGAGUCACUCAUUAUACACUUAGCUUAAUGCACAACCACAAGGUGCUGACACUACCCCAAUGAAGAUAAAUGAUAACAGAUAACAGAAUCAAAUAUUUUAAAGGGGACUUUGUAUGUAGUCAUUUAUUUACUUAUUUAAUAUUGUUAUUUAUGAUGAAAAGAGGAAUAAUUCUGUAAUUUGAAUUGCAUUAAACUACCUUCAAGAAAUAGCUGGCCAACUGUUUUGCAAAUAAAUGUUUCUAUUUAAUUAAAAGGUUGUAAGUUUUGUUGCGGCAAUUAACAGCAUAGAUACUUUCUAUCUAAGAGUAGGAGGGUCAUGUGUGAGUUUCACCUAAUUUUAGUCAGAUGCUAUAAAUUUAUUCAUCUAGGGCAUUUAAGAGAUGAAAAUAACUUACUGUGUCCUGACUGACUGGAGGAUGGUAAGGAAUAUGACAUAACAUAUACAUAAUAGUAAAUUAAUAAAAAAAUAAAAUAUUGUAUAUGAAGUUAUAAUGAACUGAAAAUUCUAUCACAUAGGAAGACAGUGUUUUCUUUUAUGCUCUAGAUCAUGAGUUGAGGUCAAUUUGAUACUCAUAAAUGUAGUUUCCCCUGAACUGUAAUUUCAUAGUUUCUUAUGGCUUAGUUUUCCUUUUAGCCUACAUAAAGAUAAUAAUUAUUUUUCUGUAAAAGAAAUAAAGCUUCUAGGAAGCAUAGAAUAAAAUGCUCCAAACUCUUGAAAUCAUCAGAAUCAUAAGACUGUAUAGCCUAUUUACAAAACCUAGCUAUCUCAGCAUGUGUUUUUGCAAACUAUGGCAAACAGGAUUCACAGUACAAAUUGAAGAUUAAGUAUCAUGUAAACAAUAGACAAACUUACACUGGAUUAUUUAUAACACAGUAAAUCACAAAUAUAACAGCUAUGAACAAAUUGUUAUGUUGUUGUUAUUGUUUAUGGCUGCAUAAAAGGCUAGGAUGCAUAAACAGAGGUAUAAGCCAUAAGACACGUGGACUAUUUCUUCUAUUCUCCUAAACUUUGGAAAGGUCUAAUCUGAAAUACUGUCUCCAGCUUUAAGAAGCCCACAUCAAGGCACAGAGAAUUUUUUUUUUCUCUAUAGGAAGUGAGAAAGAAUUAUCAGAGACUUAGAACAUCUGUCAAGACUAAAGGAGUUGUUUAGUUUUUAAAAAAUAAAAGAAAAAUGACCGAAGUCUUGCAACAGGAAGACUGCUACAGUGGAGAUGUGACUAUUCUGUUCUCAUCAUUGAAAGGACGGGAUAUAAUAUGCUUCAGUUACAGGAACAAAGAUUGAAUAAAGAUACGACAGUGUCUGAGGUCAUCCAAUUGAAACCUGUUUGAAAUCAGGUUUAACUGGAAGUUGAAAAACAACUGUAAAAUGAGAAGAAUUUACAAAGAGCUUUUUCCAGCUCUAUUUUUUUUUUUUACACAUGUAUGUUUUCAUUAUUUCCUUUAAUUCUAGAAUUCUGCAAGAGUUCUUCAAGAGAUGUCACGGUUGCAUCUUUUCUGAUUAAUUUGUUAUUUAGGACACAAGAAGAGUCUCUACAGGCCCAACACUACAAUUUUUGGCAAUGAUCCCUUUCCAUGUAACUGGGCAUAUUCCAUGUGCACUAACUGACAUCUCCAGAUGGGAGAAGAAGAAAAGAGAAAGAGGCCUCAAUUAAACUACCAUUGCAUUAGCUUUCUAAACCUCUGCCUUAUUUUCCAGAAUAGGACAAGAGAGCCUGUUUCUUGUCGAUGACAAAAUGGCAGAACAAAUGCUAUUCCAAAAAUUCCAUGGAAGAGACAAAACAGUUACCAUAUUCAGGUUGCCAGCACUGACGUGGGAGAUCUCCUCACCUGCCUCUUUUACCUUUUUCCCCAUGGCUGACAGGAGCUCUAGGUGUGGAAAUCCACUAUACGUUAAAAAGAACAAUGACAAAUAAAUAACUUUCAGAUAAAGAACAAACAUCACAGAUCUGUCCAAGGCUAUGAUGCAUCAGCCCCCCCUUCUUCAGUAAGUCCGUCUGGGUGGAGGAUUGUCAUCACCUUCAGUGCCUUUACUACCUCAUCUACCCUUAUAGGUCAACAAGCAACUAGUACAGAGUGAACAAGUCCACUCUGAGUAUGGUUAUGGUGGAGAGUUGAAAACAUGCCUUCCAGAUCAUGUAACAACUAGCAGCUAUGCAGGUCUCUGCCCAAUGUGCAAAAGUCAUUGAACAGAUUCACAUCCCAUAGAGUACUACUCUCCACACGACUUAUACUGAGGAACGAUCUACAAGAACUAACAUCCUGUAAAACCUGCUAGCUUAUGGCUGUCAUUAUUUUGUUGCAUUAGACAUAUACUUGACAGCAGAGACUCUGAAAACUGCUAAAGGAACUCUCUCCUACUUAGAUACCGCUUUCUUAUGAUAUGUCUUUCCACUUAAACCUGAUUUUUUCUAAUCUGCUUGGGCCACAUGAUGUACAAAAUGAGGCAGAAAGAAGCAGAUUCAGUCUUGGACAGAAUAAGCAAAGGGGAGGUCUUAUUUCUGUCUUCAGCUACUUAAUAGGAGAGUAUGGAAGAAUAGAGCCAGAAUUUUCUCAGGGUGUUCAGUAAUAGGAUGAGAGGUGGUGGACACAAAUUGCAACAUGGAGAAUUCCUUUUAGGUGCUAGGAAAAAUACUUGUAUCAUGGUCAAACAAAAGAAAAGAUUUUAAGUUGUGGCAUCACCACCACUCAAGACUCAGACAAGUAACCUAUUUAAGUCAGUGUAGCUGAGUCAGGCCAGAUGACCUCAGGAGAUCUAUUCCAACCUAAAUGAUUUGGUGAUUCUGAAAGUUUAUUCAACUCCAAUCUAGGAAAGUUCAGAAGGCAGUGUUUGUCAUUGAAGAAACUAACUGAAAAUCUGAGGAAGCCUGAGAGAAUAAGUGAAAGGAUGAGACUUAUCAAAAAGUAGUUUGUGCGACAGAGAAUUUGCUAUUGUUCCCUUUGGGACAUAUUCUUUCUGUGUUGGCAUGGAGCACAUUGAUUCAGUAGAGUUAUUUCUCACACAAAAAAAACCCCAACAGAUAGAUAGCACAGAAUCAACUCCUAAACAUGAACAUACCAAACACAAAACAACUGAUAAGUUUAUUUUCAGUGCUGCUUAUUCUAUUUUGGGAAACAAAUCCCAAUAAGAUAUUUUUUAAGCACCUCCAUAAUUAAGUGUAAGUGAAGUAUAUCACUACAGCAUAUUAGUGACUCCAUGUAAACAUGGAGUUUUCCUCCCGAAUGCUUAUAAACAGGCAAGCCAUAGCCUCAUUUUCAGUUUUUUUUUCCACAUUAUAAAUUCAUUUUUCUCUUUGCAAAAUGUCACUUUCUUUCCAACAGGUUAAUCCCAGGAGGUCUGGUAACUACAAUUACUCCAUUUAAAUAUUCCACAUAUCUGUCAAGACUCAAAAGAAUUCUGUAGUGUCAGUUUAAAUAUAAAUAUAUAUAAUUCUAGAUAAUAAUCAUCACUUCAAGUCUGUUAUGAAAACUGUAUUACUCAUUCAAAGAGUGUGUGAUGUUGUGUACAUGUGCAGCAUUUGUUGCAGCAUUUUCAUUGAUUUAUUGGUUAGAACAACCAUACUAACUAUAAAACAUCAAUGAUCUCAUAUAGAAAACAAUGCUCUUAGAAGGUAAACUUGUCAAUAAGGUUUUAUGCUAAUUGUUUAAGGAAAAAGCACCAGAAAUUACAUAGCUUUUCAUAUAAAGAAAGUUGAAAAUGUACACAAUACUGUAAAAGCAACCUCUAGGUAAACAUACUCAAUGCUUUUCACUUCUUUAUCAUUUUCAUCUGAACCAAAUAUUUUUCAUUUGCUGAUGAUCAGAACUUUCUUUUUUUCUUGGUUGGGUUUCAGAAAGUUUGGGAAGUUAACUAUUUUCUGCCAUCUUUCUUCUAAAUAUCCUGAAACACUACCACAAAAAAAAAAAAAAAAAAAAAGCAUCUUAAUAGUUUGGAUGUGGGAAUACAAGAAAGGCUAUUCAGAGCAGGAGGUGGAGCAAGAUAAACAGCAUGAUAAGGCAAGGCUGAGAACCAAGGACAUCUCCGGAAAGAAGAGAAAAGCAAAGUCAAGUGAGCUGUGUGAUGGCUGCGUGAUAAUGACUGUGAUUGGAGGAAGAGUGCGUGGCUAGGAACGACUGAUGGCUCUGAUUGGAUAAGUGCCUACAUGCACAGUUAAGGACUGUUGGUGGAAUGUUGUGUUGACAUGUAAAGGCUGGUGGGAAAGUUAAAAGAGAAAACUUGUGAAUGUAUAUAAGGGAUGUUAGAAACUGCAAUAAACAAUUCGGAUCGUUCA